rnacentral:rRNA from 1 species
GAGUCAGUCCUGCCCGGUGAAUUAUUUUAACGGCCGCGGUACUCUGACCGUGCGAAGGUAGCAUAAUCAUUUGUCUUAUAACUGAAGGCUAGCAUGAAUGGUUUAACAUGGUUACUACUGUCUCUUUUUAAUUUUUUAGAAUUUUAUUUUUAGGUUAAAAAGCCUAGAUCCUAUUAAAAGACAAGAAGACCCUAUCGAGCUUUAAGCUAAUUAACGGCACCCGCAUACUGGUAUAGCUGCGUUCAAAAAAAUUAUUUUGGUUGGGGCGACUAAGGAACUAAUAAAGCUUCUUUCUUUUUAAAAAGUUUACGCAUUAUGAUCCAAAGGGUUUGAUUAAUGGAAUUAGUUACCGUAGGGAUAACAGCAUAAUCCUCUUAAAGAGCUCAUAUCGAAAAGAGGGUUUGUGACCUCGAUGUUGGACCAAAGUAUCCUAAAGGUGCAGCAGUCUUUAAGGGUUGGUC